rnacentral:rRNA from 1 species
AGGGCUGCGGUAAUUUGACCGUGCGAAGGUAGCAUAAUAAAUAGUCUUUUAAUUGAAGGCUUGAAUGAACGGUCGGAUGAGGGACAUUCUGUCUCUUUUGUAAAUUUGAAUUUGACUUUUAAGUGAAAAGGCUUAAAUAUUUUAGUGGGACGAAAAGACCCUAUAAAACUUUAUAUUUGCAUUAUAGGCAGACUAAUCAUCAGCUAAAAUUUGCUUAUUUUGUACAUAUUUUGUUGGGGCGACAAAAAUAAAAUUUGUAACUGUUUAAAAAAUUCAAUAAUUGUCAUUAGUUUAUGAUCCUUUAUAGAGAUUAAAAGAUUAAGUUACUUUAGGGAUAACAGCGUAAUUUUCCUUGAAAGUCCGUAUUGACAGGUAUAGUUGCGACCUCGAUGUUGAAUUAAAAUUUUAAAUGGGUGUAGCCGCUCAUUUGUAGGGUCUGUUCGACCUUUAAAUUUUU